UCCCGCAACGAGCGCCAACCCCUAUCUUUAGUUGCCAUCAGGUUCGGCUGGGCACUCUAUGGAGACUGCCACCUAAAGUGGAGGAAGGUGGGGAUGACGUCAAGUCAGCAUGGCCCUUACGUCCGGGGCUACACACGUGCUACAAUGGCCGGUACAAAGGGUUGCGAAGCCGUGAGGUGGAGCGAAUCUCAAAAAGCCGGCCUCAGUUCGGAUUGGAGGCUGCAACUCGCCUCCAUGAAGUCGGAAUCGCUAGUAACCGCAGAUCAGCUACGUUGCGGUGAAUACGUUCCCGGGCCUU
rnacentral:rRNA from 1 species